ACUACUUUGUUGGGCGACGGGUAUCGAUAGUUGUAUUAAAAUAUUUGAAUUCUUCUCUUACCCGGACCAGCUGCAGUCGGCACAAAACACUACGCAGUCUCCCGCUAUAUGCGUGGAGCGCUAGAUUUGCUCAGACUCCCGCUAUAUGCGUCGGGCGCUAGAGUUACUCAGUCUCCAAUGCAAGCCCAUGUUAAACUGUAUUAACGGCUAGCAGUCAGAUCAGUACGUUUAUUGUGUGCAGGCGUUCAUCGGUGUUCAAUUCUCCUCAUUCGUGGUUGACUUGGGCGUUUUUUUCAUUCAGUCACACUCAAGCCUUAGAUUCUACGGAAAUUGUGACCAUGAAUAUAAUUACUCCGUUGGCGAAGGUUAUAGAAACAUGAUAAGUAGUUUCGGGUCUAAUGAUCUGCAAACACUAUUGGGAGCUUUUGGUCAAAAUAAAGAGGCUUAAAAUAUGAAUUAAAAGAUCGAACAAUUGAAUUGUUAAGGACUAAACCAGCUAACAUUAAUUACUCAGGAUAUUAUAUAGCAAAAAUAUAUGAAAUUUAUCGUUCCUUGCAACAUGGUAUACCUAGUAAUGAUAUUGUGAUGCACUGCAGCUUAUUACAAACCCAACAACAACAAAUACAAAUGAUAUAAUCUAUGGGUCAAAUACAGAACCCACCAUAAAGAAUGUACCAACCACCACAAUAUCCUCAACAAUCAAUUCAUAUGGCACGGGCUGGAUUACCUCAAUUUAUGCCCAAAAUGAAAAGAGGCAUAAUACAGAACCCACCACAGAGAAUAGCUGCUGGCAUUUAUCAACAAAUGCGUAUUGUAACACAACCAACACAAUAUGUAAUAGAAAUAAGAACAGCGGCCAGUGGAAAUAAUUCGUACACACCAUCUAUCGAAACUGUAACCCAAAUCAAAUUCAAAAGGCUACCAUUUUAUGAAGUCAUUAAGCCAACUCUCCUAACUGGCACGGACAAGAUGUACAUUACAAAACGUUUCUAGAGGUAUGAAGAAGCAACAUUCAAGGUUAAUGUAAUAAUGUGUCACAUCUCGUAGCCACGAAUCGUAAUUCUUUAUUAUGUAAUAUCAAAUUAAAAAAAGUAGGUAAAUGAUAAUCGUUUUGGUGUACAUUAAAUUUCAAUUAAAUCACUAUUAUGGACAUGUUAAAUUAGAAUUUAUUGAUAGUUAUGGGUAUAAAUAGGAUGUACGUUUAAUUUUGAUAUCCACAGUAUUUAAGUUAUUUAU